CCCUUAGAUGUUCUGGGCCGCACGCGUGCUACACUGAGUGGAUCAGCGGGUCAGGUUGCGCGAAAGCGUUUCCUAAUCUUUAAAUCCGCUCGUGAUGGGGAUUGACGGUUGCAAUUUUCUGUCAUGAACGAGGAAUACCUUGUAAGCGCGGGUUAUCAUCCCGCGCUGAAUACGUCCCUGCCCUUUGUACACACCGCCCGUCGCUCCUACCGAUUGAGUGGUCCGGUGAGGCUUUGGGAUCUGAGCGGAAAGAGCGUUUCGCUGUUUCUGCUCGGAAAACUCAGUCGAACCUUAUCAUUUAGAGGAAGGAGAAGUCGUAACA
rnacentral:rRNA from 1 species